rnacentral:sRNA from 1 species
UCUCCUUUUACGAACAACAUAGAUUAUUUCAUUUACCUUAAAUUAUAUGAAGCACAAUCCAACGUUUAUGUUAAUGUAAAUGUAAAUUCUAUGUUGUUCGUAAAAGGAGA